CCUGCUUCACUCCCUGCACAGAAGCAGGGAAGACCAUAGAGACUGUCUAUUUUCAAACACUGUCUGACCAAAGGUGCAUGUAUAUGGCUGAAGGAUUCUGUCAUUUACUUAAGGUAGGGAUGAGUUUUUCCUCAUUUUGUAGGAUACCACGCCAUUUACAAAAAAAACUCAAUUUCCUUUCAAUACUUGAUGAAAGGAUUAUUAUAUUACAUAACCCUUUGAGGUGACAGUUGCCCUUCAAGUUUCUCAAUUUCAAAUCUACAAGUGUGCCACUUUUUUUUGAUACCUAUUGAUAAACAAUAUGUCUGGUUCCUGGAUUCCAAGUUGUCUGUAAGGUCUUUGACAUUUACUGUUCAUUCUUGAUAAAGGGGUUCGGUAUGUCUUGAUGAUAUCUGGUUAUACUAUGUUAAAGGAAUCAUUUGAUAAUAUGAU